rnacentral:rRNA from 1 species
AUUGAACGCUGGCGGAAUGCUUUACACAUGCAAGUCGAACGGCAGCACGGGGCAACCUGGUGGCGAGUGGCGAACGGGUGAGUAAUACAUCGGAACGUGCCCAAUCGUGGGGGAUAACGUAGCGAAAGUUACGCUAAUACCGCAUACGAUCUACGGAUGAAAGCGGGGGAUCGCAAGACCUCGCGCGAAUGGAGCGGCCGAUGUCAGAUUAGGUAGUUGGUGGGGUAAAGGCUCACUAAGCCAACGAUCUGUAGCUGGUCUGAGAGGACGACCAGCCACACUGGAACUGAGACACGGUCCAGACUCCUACGGGAGGCAGCAGUGGGGAAUUUUGGACAAUGGGCGCAAGCCUGAUCCAGCCAUUCCGCGUGCAGGAUGAAGGCCUUCGGUUGUAAACUGCUUUGUACGGACGAACGGUACUGCCUAAUACGGCGGGCGUAAUGACGGUACCGUAAGAAUAAGACACCGGCUAACUAACGUGCCAGCAGCCGCGGUAAACGU